CACGUAGUUAGCCGGGGCUUCUUAUUUAGGUACCGUCAUUUCUUUCUUCCCUAUUGAUAGAAGUUUACAAUCCGAAAACCGUCUUCCUUCACGCGGCGUUGCUGCAUCAGGCCUUCGCCCAUUGUGCAAUAUUCCCCACUGCUGCCUCCCGUAGGAGUUUGGGCCGUGUCUCAGUCCCAAUGUGGCCGGUCACCCUCUCAGGUCGGCUACUGAUCGUUGCCUUGGUGGGCUAUUAUCUCACCAACUAGCUAAUCAGAUGCGGGCCCAUCUUUUACCGAAUAAAUCCUUUCUUUCUUAGAAGAUGCCUUCCAAGAACCGUAUGCGGUAUUAGUCGUCGUUUCCAACGAUUAUUCCACAGUAAAAGGCAGGUUACCCACACGUUACUCACCCGUCCGCCGCUAAAAUAAUACAAAAGCAAGCUCUCAAUUAUUUUCGCUCGACUUGCAUGUGUUAAGCACGCCGCCAGCGUUCAUCCUGAGCCAGGAUCAAAACUC
rnacentral:rRNA from 1 species